rnacentral:lncRNA from 1 species
GGGGGAAAUUCUUCAUUUACUUUGUGAGGGAUACACAAACCUAGAACUCCCAGUUAAAGAGGAGGGAAUAAAUGUUAUUCUAGGGAGAACCUUCACUGGAAGCCUAAACAAAUUAGAGGCUAAGAUUCUUUCCAUUGAGAUGAGGCUGCUACACCAAAUGGUAACUAAGUUAUUCUUCUUUAGAAGUGGUAGACACGAUCUCC